UACGUAGGGUGCAAGCGUUGUCCGGAAUUAUUGGGCGUAAAGAGCUCGUAGGCGGUUUGUCGCGUCUGCUGUGAAAACUCGGGGCUUAACCCCGGGCCUGCAGUGGGUACGGGCAGACUAGAGUGCGGUAGGGGAGACUGGAAUUCCUGGUGUAGCGGUGGAAUGCGCAGAUAUCAGGAAGAACACCCGUGGCGAAGGCGGUUCUCUGGGACGGUACUGACGCUGAGACGCGAAAGCGUGGGGAGCGAACAGG
rnacentral:rRNA from 1 species